rnacentral:rRNA from 1 species
GACGAACCGUGCGAACGUUAUUCGGAAUCACUGGGCGUAAAGCGCACGUAGGCGGAUUUUUAAGUCAGGGGUGAAAUCCCGAGGCUCAACCUCGGAACUGCCUUUGAUACUGAGGAUCUGGAGUCCGGGAGAGGUGAGCGGAACUGCGAGUGUAGAGGUGAAAUUCGUAGAUAUUCGCAAGAACACCAGUGGCGAAGGCGGCUCACUGGCCCGGAACUGACGCUGAGGUGCGAAAGCGUGGGGAGCAAACAGG